UUUGCAUCAACAAGACUCAGCUCGCUGCCCUAGCGUCACCCCAAAUCUUCAGGCUUGAAACUGCUCUUGCUAUCCAGAGGUUGACAUUCGAAUUGACAAAGACAUUGUGGGGCUAUUUACCGCACAACUGUCUACGGCAAGGGCUAAAACACACGUGGAAGGCAAGGCCAUAAACAGCUACUGGCAGAUUGAAUCAAGUGGCAACCCUUAAUAUUCAGAAGUGUAUCAAUCAUUAUGAAGGUCCCGUGCUCAGCAAAAAUCAUAUAUACACAAGAAUUUACCCAAAUACAAACAACAUAGCAGACCUCAAGUGCUUGACAACAAAGCUUUGCUAAGUGGAGUUACGUGAUAUAUCAUCAUGUCAGGUUCCAUUUGAAUGGCUUCUUCAAAUCCUUCAGUAUGUACACACUCUUCGUCUCAUAAAACUGGAUGGACGGAAGAAGGAAAGGAAGGCUACAAAAAUCCUGCACAAACUCAUAACUACUUCUGUAGCUAUCUUGCUCAAUGUCGAGAAGAAGCAAAAGAAAAGGGUAAAUAAAUGGGCUUUUAUCUUGCCUAAUCAUCUUGGAAGCUUAUUCAUAUGCAACAACUGGAUGCAGAUCAUACUUUUGUGGUUAUAUCUUCUCAUUUUUUAUUUUAUUUUAUAUAGGAUUUUUUAUAUAGGUAUAUCUUCUCAUUUUCAUCUUUCGUAUUCAUAAUCAUAUCUUCUCAAUAGUAAUUCUACCUUCUAAGUCUUUCAAUGCAUCAGGUAGUUUCACACCUUUACUCACUAUCUUGCCCCUUACUAAGAAUAAUGAAGGUUUUAUUGACUUGUAACUUUAAGGUGCCAUUUCACAUGAUUAGUUUUAGCCUUUAGGAGGCUCAGAGUAUAAUUCAAUCACGUUUCUGGGAAUUGGAGUGCAUGACUUAACAAAUACUCAUUCCAAAGUGCACUUUUUACUCGAGAAUUGCAGACCAGACUCCAGAGCUCUCAUAGCAAUAUUUGUUAUCAGACUCAUCUCCAAAUGGGAACAGAUCAACUACAGAACUCCGGAUACAGCUUUGUAAAACCAGAAAAGAGCUUAAUAAGAUUAUCUUGCCAUCCAAACCAUGAAGUAGUUCCAUGUUU
rnacentral:lncRNA from 1 species